GACAUGUACGGAAUCCUUUAGAGAUAGAGGAGUGCUCGAAGAGAGCCGUACACAGGUGCUGCAUGGCUGUCGUCAGCUCGUGUCGUGAGAUGUUGGGUUAAGUCCCGCAACGAGCGCAACCCUUGCCAUUAGUUGCUACGAAAGGGCACUCUAAUGGGACUGCCGGUGACAAACCGGAGGAAGGUGGGGAUGACGUCAAGUCCUCAUGGCCCUUAUAGGUGGGGCUACACACGUCAUACAAUGGCUGGUACAGAGGGUUGCCAACCCGCGAGGGGGAGCCAAUCCCAUAAAGCCAGUCGUAGUCCGGAUCGCAGUCUGCAACUCGACUGCGUGAAGUCGGAAUCGCUAGUAAUCGCGGAUCAGAAUGUCGCGGUGAAUACGUUCCCGGGUCUU
rnacentral:rRNA from 1 species